rnacentral:rRNA from 1 species
UACAGAGGGGGCGAGCGUUGUUCGGAAUUACUGGGCGUAAAGGGCGCGUAGGCGGCCCGCUAAGUCGAACGUGAAAUCCCCAGGCUCAACCUGGGAACUGCGUCCGAUACUGGCAGGCUUGAAUCCGGGAGAGGGAUGUGGAAUUCUCGGUGUAGCGGUGAAAUGCGUAGAUAUCGAGAGGAACACCUGCGGCGAAGGCGGGUUGCUGGGCUGACACUGACGCUGAGGCGCGAAAGCUAGGGGAGCGAACGGG